GCCUAAUUCCUUAAAAGAAAUUAACAUCAAAAAACACCACAAAAAUAAAAUUUACUAAUUCCAUAAUAAUUACUAACCAAAACAAAAUAAAGAAAACAUUCCAAUAAAUAGACCAAACCACAAGUAAAUAAAAAAAAAGAACAAAUAAAAUUUUAACAUAAUCAAAUUGAAAAUCACCAUAAAAUCCACAAAGCUAAAUAACCAAACACAAAGUUAUAAUAAUAAAAUAAGGAGCUAGUCCCCCCCAAUCUUAACAUCAAAUAAAAAGCAAUAAACCGACAAUAAACUUUAAACAAAACGCAUGAAUUAAAUUCAUUUCUUGGAAAACCAGAAACCACCAAAGACGAA
rnacentral:rRNA from 1 species